UUUUAUGCAAGAACUGGUUGA
rnacentral:piRNA from 1 species